UGCUUAUCGAACUGGAGAAGAAAGAGGAAAUUGUAUGAUUUGCUCGGGCUUUCAGAAUGUAAUAAAAACAAAGCUAUGAAUGUGUUUAUUGUUACUGUAUGGUGGCGAUGAUGACACUCUUAUUUGUCGACGACAUUGUUACAUUCUGAGAGCUUGAGCUAAUCACUCAUUCUCUCCUCGAAAGGAAGCGCGUUGAGAUCGAUCGUCGGUAUCUUCGUCUUGCUCUUGCCCUUGCUCCCGUUGAUCUGUUGUUAAUAGGUUUGAGAAUCAAUGGACUUAUCUGCUUGGACUGUAAUUGGUCAUAGCUUUUAACAAAAAACAGUUUGCUGGUAAGCGGCAUAACUCAAUAUAUCGCUUCAUUAUGUAUGGCUUAUAUUAUAGUUGAGAUUAAGAAUGAAAGUCCAAUUACCUUAGUUGCUCUGGCCUGUAUUAGUGCAGUCUCAAAUUGUUUCUCAAGAUGCAUAAAGUCGGCGACGCUGAGGUCGUCAGCGGAUGGCUCCUCAAACUCCCUGCAAAUAAUUAAGUAGAAGAGCUGUUGUAGUCAUGAAUGCCAACUUAACAAAGUAAAGAAAGUAUAAGGAGAGGGAGAGGGAAGGAUGAAGUGGCUGCCUUUCCACUACUUGUAGGAGCUCCUCACAUGUCAUGAAACGCGAAUAUUUAGCCUGACAUGGAAACACAAAACCAUUAAUAACCUUCACAACAUCCAGCAUAUAUUCAUACAAUUAAUUUAAGACUAUGACCCCUGUUUUCAUUUAUAAUUCAAUCACUAUCUAAAACUCAUUUACCACAUCCGCGGAUUUCACCACAUUAACGAAUACGGUUAUUUAUGUAUAACAUUGAUUUAUUCAUGAAUUUUAUUAAUUUAUUCGUUAAUCUCA